UUUUUCUAAUCAAGUUUGUGUGGUCCUGCAAAUAAAUAAAUAAAGAAAAAGAUUUCAUGGAGAAAAGAAUAAUUAGCUUCACAAGCUGUAUCCAGAUUUUGCUGAGAAAAAUGGGGCUCCCAAAGAAAAUAUUUUCCAGUUUACUUUUUUAGACUUCCCAGAGGAAUUUGGGCUCUUCCCUACUUUAUUCCCACCCCAAGAGAACUUCAUGCCACAAGCAAGAUGGCACUGCUCUUGGUGCUAGGUAUACAGUAAUAAAACAAAGUUCCUGGGACUGGAGAGAUGCCUCAGUGGAUAGGAGCUGUUGCUGCCCUUCAAGAGGAUCAGAGUUCGGCUCCCAGCACACCAUGCGCUCACAACUGCCUAUUCUUCCAGCUCCAAGGGAUCCAGUGCCCUCUUCUGGCCUGAUUGGCAUCUACACUCACGUGCAUACCUCCCACCCCUGACAUAUGUAUAGUUAAAAAUAAAACCAUAAAAAUAAUUAUAAA